CCUACGGGUGGCUGCAGUAAGGAAUCUUCCACAAUGGGGGCAACCCUGAUGGAGCAACGCCGCGUGAAGGAUGAAGGCCCUAGGGUCGUAAACUUCUUUUGUUAGCGAAGAAUAUGACGGUAACUAACGAAUAAGGGUCGGCUAACUACGUGCCAGCAGCCGCGGUCAUACGUAGGACCCAAGCGUUAUCCGGAGUGACUGGGCGUAAAGAGUUGCGUAGGCGGCUCGUUAAGCAGAUAGUGAAAUCACGUGGCUCAACCAUUGUGGCUAUUAUC
rnacentral:rRNA from 1 species